rnacentral:lncRNA from 1 species
CCAAAGCAGGGAGGGGCGGUCCAGAGGAACCGGAACUUGCUGCGGAGGCGGAGGUAGACAAGGCCAUUCCAGCGGGGGAGCCAGCACCAGCUGAUGAGGAGGCCGAUCAAGACGGCAAGCCAAAUCAGGACUGCGCAUAGCAAGACGCCGACGAAUGUCUCGGUCAAAUACGGGUUCCUCAUGAAAUCGACGAGAUUGAAGAACGAGGUGUCCUCCAUGAUCCCUUGUGGAUGAUUAGGCAAUGAUGACGUUUUGAGCAAUUGUUGGCGUCAAUGGAGG